UACGUAGGGUGCGAGCGUUGUCCGGAAUUAUUGGGCGUAAAGGGCUCGUAGGCGGUCUGUCGCGUCGGGAGUGGAAACUCAGGGCUUAACCCUGAGCCUGCUUCCGAUACGGGCAGACUAGAGGUAUGCAGGGGAGAACGGAAUUCCUGGUGUAGCGGUGGAAUGCGCAGAUAUCAGGAGGAACACCGGUGGCGAAGGCGGUUCUCUGGGCAUUACCUGACGCUGAGGAGCGAAAGUGUGGGGAGCGAACAGG
rnacentral:rRNA from 1 species